UUAGUCUUAUAAUUUAAGACUGGGAUGAAGGAAAUAAUUAGAGAAUUACUUUCUUAAAGCUGUAUAAUAAACCUUACUUUUUAGUAAAAAGGCUAAAAUUAUCUUUUUAGACAAGAAGACCCUAUAAAGCUUCACAUAUACAAAUUUAAGAAAUUUUACUAUGUUUUGCUGGGGCGGUAAGAAAGUGGACGUUUCUUAAUUAAUUUAACUUAGAUGUUACGAUAACCAAAAAUUUUGAAGUAUAAAUAAGUUACUUUAGGGAUAACAGCGUAAUUUAUUUUGAAAGUUCUCAUUGACAAAUAAGUUUGCGACCUCGAUGUUGGAUUAAAGUACCUGUUCUGUG
rnacentral:rRNA from 1 species